AUAUUGGUCAAUGGAUGCAAGUCUGAACCAGCCAUGCCGCGUGCAGGAAGAAGGCCUUCUGGGUUGUAAACUGCUUUUGCCGGGGGAUAAAAUUCCCAUGCGUGGGAAAUUGAAGGUACCCGGUGAAUAAGCCACGGCUAACUACGUGCCAGCAGCCGCGGUAAUACGUAGGUGGCAAGCGUUGUCCGGAUUCACUGGGUUUAAAGGGUGUGUAGGCGGGCUGUUAAGUCAGUGGUGAAAUCUCCGGGCUCAACCCGGAAACUGCCGUUGAUACUAUCAGUCUUGAAUCUUGUUGAGGUAGGCGGAAUAUGUCAUGUAGCGGUGAAAUGCUUAGAUAUGACAUAGAACACCGAUUGCGAAGGCAGCUUACUAAACAAGCAUUGACGCUGAGGCACGAAAGCGUGGGGAUCAAA
rnacentral:rRNA from 1 species